rnacentral:rRNA from 1 species
GACGAACGCUGGCGGCGUGCUUAACACAUGCAAGUCGAACGGAAAGGCCCUGCUUUUGUGGGGUGCUCGAGUGGCGAACGGGUGAGUAACACGUGAGUAACCUGCCCUUGACUUUGGGAUAACUUCAGGAAACUGGGGCUAAUACCGGAUAGGAGCUCCUGCUGCAUGGUGGGGGUUGGAAAGUUUCGGCGGUUGGGGAUGGACUCGCGGCUUAUCAGCUUGUUGGUGGGGUAGUGGCUUACCAAGGCUUUGACGGGUAGCCGGCCUGAGAGGGUGACCGGCCACAUUGGGACUGAGAUACGGCCCAGACUCCUACGGGAGGCAGCAGUGGGGAAUAUUGCACAAUGGGCGGACGCCUGUUGCAGCAACGCCGCGUGCGGGAUGACGGCCUUCGGGUUGUAAACCGCUUUCGCCUGUGACGAAGCGUGAGUGACGGUAAUGGAUAAAGAAGCACCGGCUAACUACGUG